GCCUAAAGCGUCCGUAGCCGGCUUUGUAAGUUUUCGGUUAAAUCUAUAUGCUCAACAUAUAGGCUGCCGGGAAUACUGCAAAGCUAGGGAGUGGGAGAGGUAGACGGUACUCCGUAGGAAGGGGUAAAAUCCUUUGAUCUAUGGAUGACCACCUGUGGCGAAGGCGGUCUACCAGAACACGUCUGACGGUGAGGGAUGAAAGCUGGGGGAGCAAACCGGAUUAGAUACCCGGGUAGUCCCAGCUGUAAACUAUGCAAACUCAGUGAUGCAUUGGCUUGUGGCCAGUGCAGUGCCGCAGAGAAGUCGUUAAGUUUGCCGCCUGGGAAGUACGUACGCAAGUAUGAAACUUAAAGGAAUUGGCGGGGGAGCACCACAAGGGGUGAAGCCUGCGGUUCAAUUGGAGUCAACGCCAGAAAUCUUACCCGGAGAGACAGCAGAAUGAAGGUCAAGCUGAAGACUUUACCAGACAAGCUGAGAAGUGGUGCAUGGCCGUCGCCAGCUCGUGCCGUGAGGUGUCCUGUUAAGUCAGGUAACGAGCGAGAUCCCUGCCUCUAGUUGCCACCAUUGCUCUCAGGAGCAGUGGGGCGAAUUAGCGGGACUGCCGCAGUUAAUGCGGAGGAAGGAGGGGGCCACGGCAGGUCAGUAUGCCCCGAA
rnacentral:rRNA from 1 species